CAGCCGCCACGGUAAUACAGAGGGUGCAAGCGUUAAUCGGAUUUACUGGGCGUAAAGCGUGCGUAGGCGGCUUUUUAAGUCGGAUGUGAAAUCCCUGAGCUUAACUUAGGAAUUGCAUUCGAUACUGGGAAGCUAGAGUAUGGGAGAGGAUGGUAGAAUUCCAGGUGUAGCGGUGAAAUGCGUAGAGAUCUGGAGGAAUACCGAUGGCGAAGGCAGCCAUCUGGCCUAAUACUGACGCUGAGGUACGAAAGCAUGGGGAGCAAACAGGAUUAGAUACCCCUGUAGUCCCUGUCUCUUAUAC
rnacentral:rRNA from 1 species